CUUCUGGAAAGAGGACGGCUUUGCGUGAACAGCAAAUUAUGGCUUGCUGGUUAAGGCUUGUCAAAAUUUCUGAAUCAGCUCUAGAAGAGGAAAGAAAAGGAGCGGCCUUCUGGCAUUCACUACGUCCACACCUUUAAAUAAUAGAUCAAGGAAACCAACAAGCGGCUAGUGCGAUUCGCUGUGCGUCACCCACCACCGUUUCUCCUCCUUAUCACAGACAGCAGGCUCCCAAGAUCACAUAGCCAAGACCGCGAUCUAAAGGCGAUAGCCGGAGGAGGAAGUGAGAGAGGAAAACAGUGCCGGGUGACGCUUCGACUCUUCAGCGCAUGCAGAAGGCCACCCUCAUGAGGAGUUGCGUCUCCCCUGCAGCAGCUUUAGCACAGCAUCCAAACAUCUACAACUUUACUCAGAUAUACUUAAAAGGAUGUAUUUGGAGUCUGCAUACAAGGACCAGAUGCCAGAGAAUUUGCCAGCCAUGAACAUCCAAAGAUUGCAUUUGAAUGAAGACACAAAAGCCCGGCAUUCACUGCAAACUAUUUCUAGCAUCACUUGCUGCUUCUGUGCUUAGAUCUGUCCCGCUUUCCAUUUUCUGAGGCAAAUCUACAUAGCAUUAAAUACACAUGAGCAAA